rnacentral:rRNA from 1 species
UACGAAGGGUGCAAGCGUUACUCGGAAUUACUGGGCGUAAAGGGGGCGUAGGUGGUUUGUUAAGUCUGCUGUGAAAUCCCCGGGCUCAACCUGGGAAUGGCAGUGGAUACUGGCAAGCUAGAGUGCGGUAGAGGGUAGUGGAAUUCCCGGUGUAGCAGUGAAAUGCGUAGAUAUCGGAAGGAACACCUGUGGCGAAAGCGGCUCACUGGACCAUUACUGACGCUGAGGCACGAAAGCUAGGGGAGCAAACAGG